GACGGAGGAUGCAAGUGUUAUCCGGAAUCACUGGGCGUAAAGCGUCUGUAGGUGGUCAAAUAAGUCAACUGUUAAAUCUUGAGGCUCAACCUCAAAAUCGCAGUCGAAACUAUUAGACUAGAGUAUAGUAGGGGUAAAGGGAAUUCCAGUGGAGCGGUGAAAUGCGUAGAGAUUGGAAAGAACACCGAUGGCGAAGGCACUUUACUGGGCUAUUACUAACACUCAGAGACGGAAGGCUAAGG
rnacentral:rRNA from 1 species